UACGGAGGGUGCAAGCGUUAAUCGGAAUUACUGGGCGUAAAGCGUGCGUAGGCGGCUUGCUAAGUCAGAUGUGAAAGCCCUGGGCUUAACCUGGGAACUGCAUUUGAUACUGGUGAGCUAGAGUUUAAUAAAGGGGAGUGGAAUUUCCGGUGUAGCGGUGAAAUGCGUAGAGAUCGGAAGGAACACCAGUGGCGAAGGCGACUCCCUGGAUUAAAACUGACGCUGAGGUACGAAAGCGUGGGUAGCAAACAGG
rnacentral:rRNA from 1 species